CUGGCGGCAUGCUUUACACAUGCAAGUCGAACGGUAACAGGGAGCUUGCUCCGCUGACGAGUGGCGAACGGGUGAGUAAUAUAUCGGAACGUACCCAAGAGUGGGGGAUAACGUAGCGAAAGUUACGCUAAUACCGCAUACGAUCUAAGGAUGAAAGCAGGGGACCUUCGGGCCUUGUGCUCCUGGAGCGGCCGAUAUCUGAUUAGCUAGUUGGUGAGGUAAAGGCUCACCAAGGCGACGAUCAGUAGCUGGUCUGAGAGGACGACCAGCCACACUGGAACUGAGACACGGUCCAGACUCCUACGGGAGGCAGCAGUGGGGAAUUUUGGACAAUGGGCGCAAGCCUGAUCCAGCAAUGCCGCGUGAGUGAAGAAGGCCUUCGGGUUGUAAAGCUCUUUUGUCAGGGAAGAAACGGCUGUGGCUAAUAUCCACGGCUAAUGACGGUACCUGAAGAAUAAGCACCGGCUAACUACGUGCCAGCAGCCGCGGUAAUACGUAGGGUGCAAGCGUUAAUCGGAAUUACUGGGCGUAAAGCGUGCGCAGGCGGUUUUGUAAGUCUGUCGUGAAAUCCCCGGGCUCAACCUGGGAAUUGCGAUGGAGACUGCAAGGCUAGAAUCUGGCAGAGGGGGGUAGAAUUCCACGUGUAGCAGUGAAAUGCGUAGAGAUGUGGAGGAACACCGAUGGCGAAGGCAGCCCCCUGGGUCAAGAUUGACGCUCAUGCACGAAAGCGUGGGGAGCAAACAGGAUUAGAUACCCUGGUAGUCCACGCCCUAAACGAUGUCUACUAGUUGUCGGGUUUUAAUUAACUUGGUAACGCAGCUAACGCGUGAAGUAGACCGCCUGGGGAGUACGGUCGCAAGAUUAAAACUCAAAGGAAUUGACGGGGACCCGCACAAGCGGUGGAUGAUGUGGAUUAAUUCGAUGCAACG
rnacentral:rRNA from 1 species